rnacentral:rRNA from 1 species
GGUGAACGCUGGCGGCGUGCCUAAGACAUGCAAGUCGAGCGGGCCGCGGGGUUUUACUCCGUGGUCAGCGGCGGACGGGUGAGUAACGCGUGGGUGACCUACCCGGAAGAGGGGGACAACCCGGGGAAACUCGGGCUAAUCCCCCAUGUGGACCCGCCCCUUGGGGUGUGUCCAAAGGGCUUUGCCCGCUUCCGGAUGGGCCCGCGUCCCAUCAGCUAGUUGGUGGGGUAAUGGCCCACCAAGGCGACGACGGGUAGCCGGCCUGAGAGGGUGGCCGGCCACAGGGGCACGGAGACACGGGCCCCACUCCUACGGGAGGCAGCAGGUAGGAAUCUUCCGCAAUGGGCGCAAGCCUGACGGAGCGACGCCGCUGGGAGGAAGAAGCCCUGCGGGGUGUAAACUCCUGAACCCGGGACGAAACCCCCGACGAGGGGACUGACGGUACCGGGGUAAUAGCGCCGGCCAACUCCGUG